rnacentral:rRNA from 1 species
AACGAACGCUGGCGGCAUGCCUAACACAUGCGAGUCGAACGAGACCUUCGGGUCUAGUGGCGCACGGGUGCGUAACGCGUGGGAACCUGCCCUUAGGUUCGGAAUAACUCCCCGAAAGGGGUGCUAAUACCGGAUAAUGUCUUCGGACCAAAGAUUUAUCGCCUUUGGAUGGGCCCGCGUUGGAUUAGCUAGUUGGUAGGGUAAAAGCCUACCAAGGCGACGAUCCAUAGCUGGUCUGAGAGGAUGAUCAGCCACACUGGGACUGAGACACGGCCCAGACUCCUACGGGAGGCAGCAGUGGGGAAUAUUGGACAAUGGGCGAUAGCCUGAUCCAGCAAUGCCGCGUGAGUGAUGAAGGCCUUAGGGUUGUAAAGCUCUUUUACCCGGGAUGAUAAUGACAGUACCGGGAGAAUAAGCUCCGGCUAACUCCGUG